rnacentral:antisense_RNA from 14 species
AGUAACCAAAAACAACAGCAGCAUUUGUAGUUGGGUUUGUAAUAAUACGAACGUCUCCACCUCCUGGAGCCCAUGUAUCAUAAACACCACCAAAAUACAUAGCUUUCCAUACUAAUAACCAAGCUCCAAUACCUAACAUGAUAAGGUGGUAACCUAAGAUGUUAGUCAUUUUGUUUUUGUCUUUCCA